UAGGGAAUCUUCGGCAAUGGACGAAAGUCUGACCGAGCAACGCCGCGUGAGUGAAGAAGGUUUUCGGAUCGUAAAACUCUGUUGUUAGAGAAGAACAAGGACGUUAGUAACUGAACGUCCCCUGACGGUAUCUAACCAGAAAGCCACGGCUAACUACGUGCCAGCAGCCGCGGUAAUACGUAGGUGGCAAGCGUUGUCCGGAUUUAUUGGGCGUAAAGCGAGCGCAGGCGGUUUCUUAAGUCUGAUGUGAAAGCCCCCGGCUCAACCGGGGAGGGUCAUUGGAAACUGGGAGACUUGAGUGCAGAAGAGGAGAGUGGCAUUCCAUGUGUAGCGGUGAAAUGCGUAGCUAUAUGGAGGAACACCAGUGGCGAAGGCGGCUCUCUGGUCUGUAACUGACGCUGAGGCUCGAAAGCGUGGGGAGCAAACAGG
rnacentral:rRNA from 1 species